GGGAAGACUUAGAGCCCCCUUGACAUGGUGUGUUAAUAGUUGUGCCUUUGGCCAGACACGACGGUUAGUGAAUC
rnacentral:ncRNA from 1 species